AACGAACGCUGGCGGCGUGCCUAAUACAUGCAAGUCGAACGUUAAGUGUAGCAAUACGCUGAAAGUGGCGAACGGGUGAGUAACACGUAAGUAAUCUGCCUUUAAGAUUGGGAUAACCUUGCCAACGCGGGGCUAAUACCGGAUGUGGUUGACAUGACGCAUGUUGUGUUAAUUAAAGGAGUGAUCCGCUUAAAGAUGAACUUGCGGCCCAUUAGUUAGUUGGCGGGGUAACGGCCCACCAAGACCGCGAUGGGUAGCCGGCCUGAGAGGGUGUACGGCCACAUUGGGACUGAGAUACGGCCCAGACUCCUACGGGAGGCAGCAGUAGGGAAUUUUGCGCAAUGGACGAAAGUCUGACGCAGCAACGCCGCGUGAGGGAUGAAGGUCUUCGGAUUGUAAACCUCUGUUGAAUGGGAAAAAAGUAGCAAUAUUUGAUGGUACCAUUUGAGGAAGCACCGGCUAACUACGUG
rnacentral:rRNA from 1 species